GUCCUGGCAGUAAACGGUGCACGUUUGGUGUGGGAGGAUUCGACCCCUUCCGCGCCGGAGCUAACGCGUUAAACGUGCCGCCUGGGGAGUACGGUCGCAAGAUUAAAACUCAAAGAAAUUGACGGGGGCCCGCACAAGCGGUGGAGUAUGUGGCUUAAUUCGAUGCAACGCGAAGAACCUUACCUGGCCUUGACAUGCAUCUCUAAGCGCGUGAAAGCGCGUGACUCCCGAAAGGGAGAAUUUGCACAGGUGCUGCAUGGCUGUCGU
rnacentral:rRNA from 1 species